GACGAACGCUGGCGGCGUGCUUAACACAUGCAAGUCGAACGGAAAGGCCCAGCUUGCUGGGUACUCGAGUGGCGAACGGGUGAGUAACACGUGGGUGAUCUGCCCUGAACUCUGGGAUAAGCCUGGGAAACUGGGUCUAAUACCGGAUAUGACCUUACAUCGCAUGGUGUUUGGUGGAAAGCUUUUGCGGUUCAGGAUGGGCCCGCGGCCUAUCAGCUUGUUGGUGGGGUAAUGGCCUACCAAGGCGACGACGGGUAGCCGACCUGAGAGGGUGAUCGGCCACACUGGGACUGAGACACGGCCCAGACUCCUACGGGAGGCAGCAGUGGGGAAUAUUGCACAAUGGGCGCAAGCCUGAUGCAGCGACGCCGCGUGAGGGAUGACGGCCUUCGGGUUGUAAACCUCUUUCACCAGGGACGAAGCGUGAGUGACGGUACCUGGAGAAGAAGCACCGGCCAACUACGUG
rnacentral:rRNA from 1 species